rnacentral:snRNA from 1 species
CCCAGUGGAAUGAUAGAGAGGAUUAGCAUGACCCCAGCACAAGGAUGACACAAAAAUUUGUGAAAUGUUCCAUAUUUUU